AUAUGAGAAUGUGAAUGAUCCAU
rnacentral:siRNA from 1 species